rnacentral:rRNA from 1 species
GACGUAGGGUGCGAGCGUUGUCCGGAUUUAUUGGGCGUAAAGAGCUCGUAGGCGGCUUGUUACGUCGGCUGUGAAAACCCGCGGCUCAACCGCGGGCCUGCAGCCGAUACGGGCAGGCUAGAGUUCGGUAGGGGAGACUGGAAUUCUCGGUGUAGCGGUGAAAUGCGUAGAUAUCAAGAGGAACACCUGCGGCGAAGGCGGGUUGCUGGGCUGACACUGACGCUGAACUGCGAAAGCUAGGGGAGCGAACGGG